rnacentral:rRNA from 1 species
GACGAACGCUGGCGGCGUGCCUAAUACAUGCAAGUCGAACGCAGUGGGGACGGGUGAGUAACACGUGGGUAACCUCCCAUCAGAGGGGAUACCACUUGGAAACAGGUGCUAAACCGAUACUGAUAGAUGGACCCGCGGUGCAUGAGCUAGUUGGUGAGGUAACGGCUCACCAAGGCCACGCUGCAUAGCCGUCCGGAGAGGGUGAUCGGCAAAACGGGAACUGAGACACGGCCCAGACUCCUACGGGAGGCAGCAGUAGGGAAUCUUCGGCAAUGGACGAAAGUCUGACAGAGCAACGCCGCGUGAGUGAAGAAGGUUGUCGGAUCGUAAAACUCUGUUGUUAGAGAAGCGGUAUCUAACCAGAAAGCAACGGCUAACUACGUGCCAGCAGCCGCGGUAAUAC